UACGUAGGGUGCAAGCGUUGUCCGGAAUUAUUGGGCGUAAAGAGCUCGUAGGCGGUUUGUCGCGUCGAAUGUGAAAACCCGGGGCUCAACCCCGGGCCUGCAUUCGAUACGGGCAGACUAGAGUUCGGUAGGGGAGUCUGGAAUUCCUGGUGUAGCGGUGAAAUGCGUAGAUAUCUGGAGGAACACCGGUGGCGAAGGCGGCAUCCUGGACCGGCAUUGACGCUGAGGCGCGAAAGCUAGGGGAG
rnacentral:rRNA from 1 species